GUACUGGUGGAGGACAAACAGAGGAGCGGGUUCCCGAAGCAACCUUGAGAUCUUGGCUGCCCAUGUUAUCAACAGCUCAAAGGGACUACAAAACCUCCAGAAGAAGCCACGAAAAGCAAAGAAGACCUGCUGCAAGCAGUUAUGGAUCACUCUGUCACAGAGAAU